CCUACGGGAGGCUGCAGUGGGGAAUAUUGCACAAUGGGGGAAACCCUGAUGCAGCGACGCCGCGUGAGUGAAGAAGUAAUUCGUUAUGUAAAGCUCUAUCAGCAGGGAAGAAAGUUACGGUACCUGAGUACGACUCCCCGGCUAACUACGUGCCAGCAGCCGCGGUCAUACGUCGGGGGCAAGCGUUAUCCGGGUUUACUGGGUGUAAAGGGAGCGUAGACGGCAGGGCAAGUCUGGAGUGAAAGGCGGGGGCUCAACCCCCGGACUGCUCUGGAAACUGUACGGCUGGAGUGCAGGAGAGGUAAGUGGAAUUCCUAGUGUAGCGGUGAAAUGCGUAGAUAUCAGGAGGAACACCAGUGGCGAAGGCGGCUUACUGGACUGUAACUGACGUUGAGGCUCGAAAGCGUGGGGAGCAAACAGGAUUAGAUACCCCAGUAGUC
rnacentral:rRNA from 1 species